rnacentral:lncRNA from 1 species
AAGAGAGAGAGAGAGACAGACAGAGAGGAGAAGGAGAACUAGACAGAAAGAGGCAGACGAGGAAAAAAGACUUUCUUUUUCUUUCUAGAGGAAUUCUGCCCAGACCCAGCAGCAGUUGGUAGCAAGCAAGCUUUCUCCUGGGUGUCUCCUGGAAAAGUUGCAAAAUUGCUCUUCACCUGUAAGAACAUGCUCUUUAUCUUCCAGUCUCUUCUUGUCAAUUUGGAAACUGCAGACAGCCUGGCUCAGAAGAGAAGACUUGGGGUUCAGAGCCGCCCCCCCUCUCCUGCAGUGGAAAUGGACUUCCCUCGGGUCGAGUACAGAACUUCCCACACAGGCGGGUGGGUGAGUGCCCUUGGCGUUGCCCUCAUUGAUCCGGCUGGACACCAGAAACAGAUAAUCUGGUGAGCAGCUGAGGCACAGACUACCUGGGCUCCCACUUAGAGGCUGAUAUAGGACUGAAGAAGCAGCUGCUCUGUCAAACCUAGAGAUCUUGAACCUGAGGGCUGUGGACAUAUUCUUUGUAUCUUCCCUGCAGCUUGGCACCAGGUAGGCCUGUUAGGAACCUCUUAAAUGUUUCUUACGUAAAGAAGUUGCUCCCUGGGGGAAGAAGAAGGCAACGAUUGCCACUCAAGAUGACUCUGUAUCCUGGAAGGAUGGCAGCCCUGGGCCACAGGGGGGCUGCCGAGUUGUUGGGCAGAGAUGGCUUGGGUGACCACAGAAGGGAAGAUCCCUUAAAUGGUGUGACUUUCAUGGCCCUUCCGUAAAGCUUUCGCAAACUGGCCAACGCGGUCAUUCUCUGCCGCGCUCUGAUCCUUUUCAAGUUGUUGAAGUCACUCAGCGGAUUAACAGGGCAUUGCCCUGGCUUUCUCAAAGGCACACGCACAGAACCGUUUAAUGCCAUUUUCAAGGGCACAAGGACAGAGAUCUGAGAGCCUCGCCAAUGAACACAGAAUAAAACCAUCACCACCACCAAACAGGAUAACACCUGAUGGGGGAACGCGUGCCUUCCCAUUGCCUCUGUCCUGCACGCUCUCUGCUGAAACUCCCUGCUUUCCAUUCCCACUUACUGGGUCCCGCACCUCAAACACGGAGGAGGGACUGUGCCACCCCAGACACAAGAAAUUUUGACCGAGUUGGUGCCUUCACCCGGAGCUAAUCUUACUCCUGGAGCCGUAAACAUGAUGGCCGAAGUGACAGCCUGGCUACAAAUCCGUCUGGGCAGCUUCAUUAGACAUCUCUCGCCUGACUGAUUAAACUGCGUUUAAGGCCCACUUUUAUUUUUUCAAGCCUUUUGUUUAAAUUAAAAGGUCAUGUUUUCAAGCAAAUAAUCUGCUGCUUCCCUCAAUCCAGCACCAUAAUACAGUUACAUUAUUACUAGUCUUAUCCCAAGUGGUGAGUCGGCUGCCCAGGCACAUGGGCCCCGGUCCCUCCCCUGGGCACAGCCAGGACACUGGGGAAGGGGACAGUUUAUUUAUUUGCAGUAGAACAAAGUGAGGGGGACUGGCUGGGAAACAAUCAAGUUGUUCCUUCACAACAAAAUCCAAAUGGGUUCCUAAUGGGAAAACUGGGUUCCAUACGUAGGACACACCUACAAUUUGAAAUCACUCCUUUCAGAUUUUAGUGGAGGCUUUUUUCUUUGAAUGGACAGUUUCGUAAACCUCCAUAUUUUAUCACUGUCCACUUUUACAAAAAUAACCAAUCAACUUUCUCAGAGCGUGGAUUAUUUACUGCCUCAAGGAAACAGAAACCCACACCGCACCUUAAAUAAUACAUGCUAACUUUUUAUGGUAAUGCAUCACAGGGUUUUUAUUAUGUAUCAGAGCAGGCCCACACUCCUGAGCCCUUCCUGGGGGCCUUCAAGCCACACAAGGGAACGUCACUUACUCUUUCCUGAGACUUUUCUGCUGGUGUGAUGGCAGAUUCAGAAUAAUCAUCCGAGGGAGAAACCAUUACCCAGCUCUUUUAACUUUGUGGACAACCAGAGAAGGCUAUUCCCCAUAUAUUUCACAGCAGGCCCAGGAUGAGGAAUCUGAAAACUAGAGGCUGCAGAUGCGGGCAAGCUCUGGUUGCAAGAGAGGAAGAAACCGUGUUUGCAGCCCUAUUUUUGCCUUUGUCUCCCACGGUUUGUACUGUUUAUAAUGCCUGCCUUUAUUUCAUAAUGUAUUUACCAUGCCUCAGUGUGAGACCAAUUCCUUUGUCAUGAGUGGAUGAAAGAAGCCAGGUCAGGAAGCAUCCACACAGGUGUGGGAUUGAUGCUGGGAACGAAAGUCUUAUUUCCUAGUGCUGAUAUUUUUCAUUUAUUAGUUACAGAAUUUUGAGUUUUAUCUGUUACUAAAUUCUACACAAAAUUGAUUUUUGGAUUAGAUUUUGUCUUUUUUUUUUUUAACAUUUUAAAUUAUAAUUAAAUCCUCCAUAAUCAUAAAGGGUUGAGGAGAACUGCUGUUGGCAAACUCCUACUGAGCGUCAGUAACUCGGUGUGAACAGGGUUAGUGAACCAUAUUAAAGAAAGAGUAUUGCCUUUUCAUUUUCAUUUCAAUGAGAUUCUGUUUAUAAUAAAUAAAUCUGCAUAUUGAUACUGCAAAUAAAAUCCAAAAAUUAAAAAAAAAAAACUCCACACAUGUUUUCAUGCACUUGAAAUGUAAACAAUUUCCAUUGAAUUUUGCUGGGCUGUCUGAACCACAAAGCCCAAGUUCUUGACACACAUUCAUGUCAGCCUAUUUGUGGGAGACUCUGCUGCUGCUGACGUGGAAAGAGUACACACACAGGCACUGACAAGAAAGAGAGUCGAGAUUUUUAAACUUACAGGAUUUUUUGGAUUUUCAUCUCUCUAACUUCUGAUGCUAAAAAUCAAAGCAAAACAAGAAACCUGGUUAUAGAAAAUAAAAUUCAGGUAAUGAUAUCAAGACAUUACACAACCUAAAUAAUAUAAAUCAGUUUAAAUACAAUGAGCUUUAAAUGAUUCUGGCUCUAAAAUUUAGACUCAUGAUGAAAAUAUAUUUGAAAGGUAGAAGAUUCCAAAGUAUAUUUAUCUGCUUGUGAAUUGUAUUAAGAAACUAGAGUUUUAAGCUUUUUUUAAAAAAAUUGUCAUAAAAUAACAUUAACACAUUCUCCUAACUCAGGAUCACUUGAGAUAUUUAUUAUGUGAGUAGACUCCUAGUAGUUUUAUAAAGUUCAAACCCUAAAGUAAUUUUAAACCUUAAAAUUUGUAUAAGUCUUUUAAGUAAGGAAACACAUAUGGAAAGUGAUUUGUACCUAGUAAGUGUCUAGCAAAUGUUGGUUGUUGUUACUUUGUUAUUAGAGUAGUUUCUAGACAAAUAUCUGACUACUAAUGAUCAAAGUAAUUAAUAUUCUACAACUUCUAUUUCUGAUCCUAUAUUUCAAAAAAGUAAGCCAAACAUUACUUAUAGAAGACAAAGAAAUAAAUAAAAGUAAAUAAUUUCCAAAAUGUUUUCAGAUACCAAGACCUGAAAAUUAAGUUAAUGAUAACAAUUUUAGGAAAGGUGUAAAAAUUUCCUCCAAAUAGCAGUGCCAGAUUGGCAGGAAGAAGGAGUAAUGUUUUUCUGGUCUUUCAUAUGAUGUUUCUAAUCUGAAAAUAAGAGUCUAUUUGAAAAUCUCUACCAAGUGGGUCUGAAUCCAAAUAACUUACUAUUUGUUCCACUCAUUAAUCAUGUAAGCUCUAAAUAUGUUUUUGAGAAAAGUAUAUUAAUAUUGACAGGCAUAUUUGGCAAAGCAAUAUCAGCUAUACACAAAAGCCAUUUUAAACAGCCUCUUUAAUAAGGUAGGAGAUGAAAAAUACCAGCUCACAAGAGUAUGUGUUUAAUUAGGAGGUAUACUGUACUCAGGGACAUUCUAAUGAAUAAUAAAUGAUGUUUUAUUUCCUGUAUCUGAGACACAAAGCCAAAUCAUCAAGAAUCAAAGCAACUCAAAGUAUUAGGUAACAAUCAGUAAACUUGGGCAAGAUCCUUUUUCCCUCUCAAGUUUAAUUGGCUCAUUGUUCCCAGGAACUAUAAACCAUGGGGUUGGUGGCAGAGCUGAAGUUUACUUCUAUAAAGGAAGAUUAACAUAUUCUGGAACUUUACACUAAUCCUUGUUUUGAGUUAACUCAAGCAGAUUGGAUUAGUAAUUCUUACCUACCACCCACUAGAAGGGACCCCGGCUUCGCUUCUUUGACAACCAGUGGUAUUGUACACCUUCUGUGCAUUAUCUUCCACUGAAAAUGUCCUGGGGAAAGAAAUUGUGUUACAGGGAGAAAGAAACUGUUUUACAUGGGGGUGGGGGUGGGGAGAACCAAGGCCACUCAAAGCUAAGGCCGGUAGUUUCUCUAUUAUCAGCUUGGUGCACAUUUGGUUAAUUCAGGCAGUUGGUGGGGUAUUCUAAGAAGUUCAUUAAACAUUUCCUCGUCACUGAAUUGGCUUUUCUCUGCCCCCCAUCUGGGGAGGGCUGAGGCUGAAAGGCAAGAAGAAAGGCUUCUCCCUUACAACCCUCUAGAACCGUUUCCAUAUUCUUUCUUUCCUUGUCCCUUCAACUCUCAGAUAGGAACAACAACAACAAAAACCUGAACAAUUCCCUAGGGGGAUGAUUAUUUACCCCUGCUUUUAUAAGUACAAUGAAUUUAUAUACCUAUUGACAUGGCGUCUUUAUAGAAGGAAAAUGAACAAAAUCAAGUUCUGCCAAACUACAAGAAAGAUGCCCUUGGCCUGUAGGUUCAGAUCUCACAGGUCUAUGUUUGUUACUGUUUGCCUAAAGAAUUUUGAUUUUCCUGUGGUUGCCAAGGAGGAGGGGAAGGGAGUGGGAUUCAUUGGGAGCUUGGGGUUAAUAGAAAACUAUUGCCUUUGGAAAGGAUAAGCAAUGAGAUCCUGCUGUAUAGCACUGGGAACUAUACCUAGUCACUUACCAUGGAGCAUGAUAAUGUGAGAAAAAGAAUGUAUAUGUGUAUGUGUGACUGGGUCACCUUGCUGUACAACAGAAAAUUGACAGAACAUUGUAAACCAGCUAUGAUGGAAAAAAUAGAAAUCA